rnacentral:rRNA from 1 species
CAAUAGCGUAUAUUAAAGUUGUUGCAGUUAAAAAGCUCGUAGUUGAAUUUCUGUCAGGAGCGACCGGGCCUUUGGAUGAACUUCCAUUGUUUUUGCUCUGUUUGUCGUCUCUAGACAUCCUGAAAUAUUUUUUUUGAAAUAUUUCUCUUUUACUGUGAAAAAAUUAGAGUGUUCAAAGCAGGCUUAUGCCGUUGAAUAUAUUAGCAUGGAAUAAUAAGAUAGGACUUUGGUACUAUUUUGUUGGUUUGCGCACCAAAGUAAUGAUUAAUAGGGACAGUUGGGGGUAUUCGUAUUCCGUUGUCAGAGGUGAAAUUCUUGGAUUUACGGAAGACGAACUACUGCGAAAGCAUUUACCAAGGAUGUUUNCAUUAA